AUACGGAGGGAGCAAGCGUUGUUCGGAAUCAUUGGGCGUAAAGCGCGCGUAGGCGGCUUGGUAAGUCGGGUGUGAAAGCCCGGGGCUCAACCCCGGAACUGCAUUCGAAACUGCCAGGCUAGAGUCUCGGAGAGGAGGGCGGAAUUCCCGGUGUAGAGGUGAAAUUCGUAGAUAUCGGGAGGAACACCAGUGGCGAAGGCGGCCCUCUGGACGAUGACUGACGCUGAGGUGCGAAAGCGUGGGGAGCAAACAGGAUUAGAAACCCCAGUAGUCC
rnacentral:rRNA from 1 species